rnacentral:sRNA from 1 species
UAGGAUAACGUUGCGUCAGCAACGGCCCGUAGGGCGAGCGAAGCGAGUCAUCCUGCACGACCCACCA